CAACUUUCAACAACGGAUCUCUUGGUUCUGGCAUCGAUGAAGAACGCAGCGAAAUGCGAUAAGUAGUGCGAAUUGCAGAAUUCAGUGAAUCAUCGAAUCUUUGAACGCACAUUGCGCCCUUUGGUAUUCCAAAGGGCAUGCCUGUUCGAGCGUCAUUUGUACCCUCAAGCUUUGCUUGGUGUUGGGCGUCUUUUGUCUCUCCCCCGAGACUCGCCUUA
rnacentral:rRNA from 1 species